rnacentral:rRNA from 1 species
GUGCAGCAGGCGCGAAACCUCCCCAAUGCCCGAAAGGGUGAGGGGGUCACCCCGAGUGCCACCCUCGUGGUGGCUUUUGCGGGGUCUAAAAAGCCCCGCGAAUAAGGGGAGGGCAAGACGGGUGUCAGCCGCCGCGGUAAUACCCGCUCCCCGAGUGGUGGGGACUAUUACUGGGCUUAAAGCGCCCGUAGCCGGCUGGGUGUGUCCCCCGUUAAAUCCACGGGCCUAACCCGUGGGCUGCGGGGGAUACUACCUGGCUUGGGGGUGGGAGAGGGCGGCGGUAUUCCCGGGGUAGGGGUAAAAUCCUCUGAUCCCGGGAGGACCACCAGUGGCGAAGGCGGCCGCCCAGAACACGCCCGACGGUGAGGGACGAAAGCUGGGGGAGCAAACGGGAUUAGAUACCCCUGUAGU